rnacentral:lncRNA from 1 species
AGACACUGAUAAAAAGCCAGCUAGGUGUCGUUAUAAUAAUCAGUCAAGCGUAUUUCUCACUCGUGAUCUAACGAUGACCUGGAAGGUUUUUGGAGUGCUUGUCCUGCUCGCUGUUCUUGGAUUCCCGGGCCUAACUCAGGGCCAAGUUUAUCAUUGUAUUUUGAACCCUUCAAAGUGCAGCAAAGAGGGGUUACAAGAUGUCCCGGAUCUUUCACCGCAGAUUCCUCUGAGCGAAUACAGACGAAACAAGCUUUCGCGAUUGGAAGAAUUCCUGCGAAAGAAACGAAACCGCGUUUAUGACGAUGCCGUGCUGAAUGAGGAAUAGUCGUGUAGCAACCAAUCUUGUUAAUAGGAAAGGGAAUCGUGCCGCUCGUAAAUGAAAACUAAAUAUUAUUACCUAGAGCUAAAUUUGUUACACAUCAAGCUGGUAAACAAGUUUUAACCAUUAAUUAAAGAGAGAAAAAUAUAAUGUC